AUUGAACGCUGGCGGCAGGCCUAACACAUGCAAGUCGAACGGAGCGGCGGACGGGUGAGUGAUACCUAGGAAUCUGCAUGGUCGCGGGGGCUAACGAUCGGAACCGGAAGCUAAUACCGCAUCCUAUCCGAUGAGCCUAGGUCGGAUUAGCUAGUUGGUGAGGUAAUGGCUCAACUAGGCUACGAUCCGUAACUGGUCUGAGAGGAUGAUCAGUCACACUGGAAAUGAGACACGGUCCAGACUCCUACGGGAGGCAGCAGUGGGGAAUAUUGGACAAUGGGCGAAAGCCUGAUCCAGCCAUGCCGCGUGUGUGAAGAAGGCCUUCGGAUUGUAAAGCACUUUAAGUUGGGAGGCGUUACCGACAGAAGAAGCACCGGCUAACUCUGUGCCAGCAGCCGCGGUAAUAC
rnacentral:rRNA from 1 species